AUUCUUAAAAUUAAAUCAAAAUUAGUGAUAUUGCUAAACUUCUUAACUAGGAAGUUAAGAGCCCAUAAGAGUCGUUGACGUGUUCAAUAAUUGUUGGGUGAUGCAUUUAAUAUAAAACAAAAAAAAAUUCUUCUUCUUCAGUUCCGUCUCUUUCUUGGGACUCCGACAACGAAAGCAAACCCAGAAGGUACAAUCCGUCAAACUGAGAGGAGAUAUGAGUCAGAAAUUUAUCUCUCGUCGUCGUGUUCAUCAUCGCUACCGACUCUGACACCAUCAACGAUUUCAGUUCAUCAAAUCAGAACCAUGUCGGUUCACCAAAUCAGAGAUUCAAGUGGCCAAAAUUGGACAGUUUGGUUCAAUGAUGCUCCAAUCUCUUUAUCUGGUAAGAAUAUCUAAGAAUCUCUCUAAUUUCAUUUGUAAUUGAGUUUUAUGUUAGCAAAAUUAAAGUUCAACGAAUUGGAAACUGAUGUUAGCAAAAUUAGGGUUCUAUGAUGUUAGCAGAGGUUCAAGUGGCCUAAUUUGAGGUUUUUUUGUUUGAAUAUGAAUCUGAGUUUUUGAUAAGGUCCAUGAUUUGAUCUGUUCUACUGUUUUUGUUGAGGUUUAUUGGAGAAUUUGUAACAAAUUUAAGAGAUAUUGAAACAGAGACCUUCUACUGAGGUCAUACAAGGCUGCAUAUAUAGAUGAAGCUGUGAGAUGCAAAUUUGGACUGCAUAAAUGGCAAGUUUUGAGAGUGUGUAUCAAGUUAACUUGAGAGUAAAAAUAUUUUGUACAUAUGAUUUUGAUUUUCAAAUUUUCAGUUUUAAGAACUCUACCAUUGGAGUUUGUUUUUUUUAAAACAUUCAUGAGUUUCUUAGAAUUUGAUUUAGCUAUAUUUUUAUCAUAAAUUUGGUUAAAACUC